rnacentral:rRNA from 1 species
UACGAAGGGGGCUAGCGUUGUUCGGAAUUACUGGGCGUAAAGGGCGCGUAGGCGGCCGUUUAAGUUAGGUGUGAAAGUCCUGGGCUCAACCUGGGGACUGCACUUAAUACUGGAUGGCUUGAAUUCGGGGGAGGGUAGCGGAAUUCCCAGUGUAGAGGUGAAAUUCGUAGAUAUCGGGAGGAACACCGGUGGCGAAGGCGGCGACCUGGGUCGAGACUGACGCUGAGGCGCGAAAGCGUGGGGAGCAAACAGG